UACAGAGGGGGCAAGCGUUGUUCGGAAUUACUGGGCGUAAAGGGCGCGUAGGCGGCCUUCUAAGUCGAACGUGAAAUCCCUGGGCUCAACCCAGGAACUGCGUCCGAUACUGGAAGGCUUGAAUCCGGGAGAGGGAUGCGGAAUUCCAGGUGUAGCGGUGAAAUGCGUAGAUAUCUGGAGGAACACCGGUGGCGAAGGCGGCUCUCUGGGACGGUACUGACGCUGAGACGCGAAAGCGUGGGGAGCGAGCAGG
rnacentral:rRNA from 1 species